GACGAACGCUGGCGGCGUGCUUAACACAUGCAAGUCGAACGGAAAGGCCCUGCUUGCAGGGUACUCGAGUGGCGAACGGGUGAGUAACACGUGGGUGAUCUGCCCUGCACUUCGGGAUAAGCCUGGGAAACUGGGUCUAAUACCGGAUAGGAGCCAUUUUUAGUGUGAUGGUUGGAAAGUUUUUUCGGUGUAGGAUGAGCUCGCGGCCUAUCAGCUUGUUGGUGGGGUAAUGGCCUACCAAGGCGGCGACGGGUAGCCGGCCUGAGAGGGUGGACGGCCACAUUGGGACUGAGAGACGGCCCAGACUCCUACGGGAGGCAGCAGUGGGGAAUAUUGCACAAUGGGCGCAAGCCUGAUGCAGCGACGCCGCGUGGGGGAUGACGGACUUCGGGUUGUAAACUCCUUUCGCUAGGGACGAAGCUUUUUGUGACGGUACCUAGAUAAGAAGCACCGGCUAACUACGUG
rnacentral:rRNA from 1 species